CCGGAUGACGUCUGCACCGGCC
rnacentral:miRNA from 1 species